rnacentral:rRNA from 1 species
UACGUAGGGUGCGAGCGUUGUCCGGAAUUAUUGGGCGUAAAGAGCUCGUAGGCGGUCUGUCGCGUCGAUCGUGAAAACUUGGGGCUUAACCCUGAGCUUGCGGUCGAUACGGGCAUGACUGGAGUUCGGCAGGGGAGACUGGAAUUCCUGGUGUAGCGGUGAAAUGCGCAGAUAUCAGGAGGAACACCGGUGGCGAAGGCGGGUCUCUGGGCCGAUACUGACGCUGAGGAGCGAAAGCGCGGGGAGCGAACAGG